UUCCGGUUGAUCCUGCCGGAGGCCACUGCUAUUGGGGUCCGAUUAAGCCAUGCGAGUCAUGGGGCGCCUUGUGCGCACCGGCGGACGGCUCAGUAACACGUCGGUAACCUACCCUCGGGAGGGGGAUAACCCCGGGAAACUGGGGCUAAUCUCCCAUAGGUUUAGGGCACUGGAAGGUCCCUAAACCGAAAGGGGCUCUGCCCGCCCGAGGAUGGGCCGGCGGCCGAUUAGGUAGUUGGUGGGGUAACGGCCCACCAAGCCCAUAAUCGGUACGGGCAGUGAGAGCUGGAGCCCGGAGAUGGACACUGAGACACGGGUCCAGGCCCUACGGGGCGCAGCAGGCGCGAAACCUCCGCAAUGCUCGAAAGAGCGACGGGGGGACCCCAAGUGCCGUGGUACAACCACGGCUUUUCCGGAGUGUAAGAAGCUCCGGGAAUAAGGGCUGGGCAAGGCCGGUGGCAGCCGCCGCGGUAAUACCGGCGGCCCGAGUGGUGGCCACUAUUAUUGGGCCUAAAGCGUCCGUAGCCGGGCUUGUAAGUCCCUGGCGAAAUCCCACGGCUCAACCGUGGGGCUUGCUGGGGAUACUGCAAGCCUUGGGACCGGGAGAGGCCGGGGGUACUCCUGGGGUAGGGGUGAAAUCCUAUAAUCCCAGGAGGACCGCCAGUGGCGAAGGCGCCCGGCUGGAACGGGUCCGACGGUGAGGGACGAAGGCCA
rnacentral:rRNA from 1 species